rnacentral:rRNA from 1 species
UACGUAGGGUGCAGGCGUUAAUCGGAAUUACUGGGCGUAAAGCGUGCGCAGGCGGUUGUGCAAGACAGAUGUGAAAUCCCCGGGCUCAACCUGGGAAUUGCAUUUGUGACUGCACGGCUAGAGUGUGUCAGAGGGGGGUAGAAUUCCACGUGUAGCAGUGAAAUGCGUAGAGAUGUGGAGGAAUACCGAUGGCGAAGGCAGCCCCCCUGGGAUAACACUGACGCUCAUGCACGAAAGCGUGGGGAGCAAACAGG